rnacentral:rRNA from 1 species
GACGAACGCUGGCGGCGUGCCUAACACAUGCAAGUCGUACGGGCUUGGGGGGCAACUCUCAAGUCAGUGGCGGACGGGUGCGUAACACGUGAGCAACUUGCCCUACGGUGGGGGAUAGCCGGCCCAACGGCCGGGUAAUACCGCGUAAUGCGUUGGGGUCGCAUGGCCCUGGCGUGAAAGCGGCCGCAAGGUCGCGCCGAAGGAGGGGCUCGCGGCGUAUCAGCUAGUUGGCGGGGUAACGGCCCACCAAGGCUACGACGCGUAGCUGGUCUGAGAGGAUGGCCAGCCACAUUGGGACUGAGAUACGGCCCAGACUCCUACGGGAGGCAGCAGUGGGGAAUAUUGCGCAAUGGCCGCAAGGCUGACGCAGCGACGCCGCGUGUGGGAUGAAGGCCUGGUGUAAC